CAGUAGUGUUUGGAAGUGCAGAAGGAGAAGGCCUUCUGUAUUGGCACCACUUGGGCUGAAGCAUGGAGGGUUUGCGGCAAAUAUGGUGUCAACAGCACCUCUCUCUUUCUCAGCUUCUUUUCCUCCGAGCAAUUUCUUCCAAGAUUUUUGUCAAAGGUACAUAGCUACACACACCCUUUUCAUUUUCCUGGGACUCUCCCUCUCUUGUGUAAUAUCAUUAUUACUAUUUGCAAACUGGAGUACCAAAAAUUUAGUUCAAUUUUUUCAAUAGUCUGCUAAUUUGAGCUGUUUUCUUGAUUUAUCUUAAAGUUCUGUUCAAGCAAUUGAUUCUAUUUCCAUUGCUUAUUUCAUCAAACAGUUCAUAACAUCCAUUUUCAAUUAUUACUUCCUUUUCCAAAAAUAAUAAGAAAGCAAAAAUAAGCUAAAUUUUUUCAUGAGGUAUUAAAUUUGGUAUCUGUGGUUCAAGAUCUGAUCUAGCUAUAAAGUUUUAUGAUAAACAAAUUAGGAAUUUGUCAUCAAAAUUAGCGAUCCCAUCCGAUGAGUAUUCUUUCAAAUAUGACUCACCAACCGUAGAAAACAGAAUCAAUCUAUCAAGAAAUGCUGCUUGCUUAGUCGUCUUUUAGUUAUGCUAUAUAUAUAGUUUAAUUAUUUUAUAUGCAUAAUUAAUACUGCAUGGCUCUAUGUGUUAACCAAAGACUAAAAUAAAAUGCUUUGAAUCAUAGAAACCUGAUGAAGCAAGUUGAGGAUCCAUCAAGCACAUCCUGCAGGCAGUGAUUUCUGCUGUUGAUGACAAGGGGAAAAUAGCAACAUCAGUAGCUUGUGCGUUGAAUUUGCUUCUUGGUGUUCCUGAGAAUAGAGAAUUAGUUAAUUCAUCUGAAGUUCAUCCUUUAGUUUGGAGAUGGCUUGAGGUGUUUUUGAAGAAAAUGUUUAAUUGGGAUCUUAGCAGCUCGAAUUACAAGGAUGUGAGGAAGUUUGCAAUUUUACGAGGUUUAUAUCACAAGGUGGGGAUUGAGCUUGUCCCAAAGGAUUUUGAUUUGGAUUCUCCAACUCCCUUUCAGAAAUCUGAUAUUGUCAGCUUGGUGCCCGUUCAUAAGGAUCAUCUUCAAAGUGCAACUGGCGGCUUAAGACUGUUGUAGGUAUCUAUUUUUUUUUCAAUGACAAGAAUAGCUACAGGGAACUUUUAGAGAUUGCUGAGCAAGCAAAAAGACAUGCUGAGGUUGCAAGGCAUCUGAAGCGGUUGAGCAUCAUUACGUGAAUGCAAGUGAUCUCAACUUGUUGGAGGCACAUGAAGCUGAAGCGUCCUUAGCUGGAAGGGGUGCCUACACUCUUACGGUAGAACUCACCCUUAU